rnacentral:lncRNA from 1 species
GAAACACCACACAUCUUAGAAUCUUAGUUGUUGGUGGGAAACAUUAUCUAGAACUGUGAUCUAGAUUUUAUAUGGUAUACUCUUGCAGUGUUGUUCUGGAUCUGUGUUGGAAUAGAAAAAUAGUAUCAGUAAUAUUAUAAUAUCAAUAAUAAAACAAUACCAAAGCUUGUCCUAAUACUUCCCAACAUGUUUUAACAACAUGGAGAAAAGAUAUUGAGCAUUUGUUACAUUCAGAAUCUUGUAAUGAAUGUAUAUUUAUGAGGGGUAUAAACAAACAAGGAAGUAAUGGCACUAUCUAUAUGGAAACAAUAGUAGUGUCCUCUCUUUGGAUAACCACAGUAGCUAUAGAUGCAGUAGUAACCAUCCCACUUAGCAAUAGCUUGAUGAUUAUUUGGCUACCAAUAGGAAUAACUCGUUAAAGAAGAUGAUGAAAAGUUAUAAGCAUCUAAAUAAUCACAAUUUACAUUAUAAAAUCAUGGACUGUGUAUCCAGAUUCUUACAGAGUUUUCUCCCAGCCUGUCAUGGAAGACUUUUCUUUAAUAGCCUGUUUCUCCUAUUACAGUGAAAACCAGACUUCUCUACUUAAUUACUGAUUCCAAAGAUUAAAUUGUUAAAGGUAACAGCUUACCAUUACGUAUUUAUUUGCUUUUCUAGAAAAAUUAAGUAUAAUCUGAUAGUUUAAAGUUUGUUUUGUAUAGUAUAAUGAGACAAAGAUUCUCAUUUUAAUAAACAUUUGCUAUUGCAUUAUAGUAAUUUACUAAUGACCUGAAAACC